CUCGUAGGCGGUUCGUCGCGUCCGGUGUGAAAGUCCAUCGCUUAACGGUGGAUCCGCGCCGGGUACGGGCGGGCUUGAGUGCGGUAGGGGAGACUGGAAUUCCCGGUGUAAUGGUGGAAUGUGUAGAUAUCGGGAAGAACACCAAUGGCGAAGGCAGGUCUCUGGGCCGUCACUGACGCUGAGGAGCGAAAGCGUGGGGAGCGAACA
rnacentral:rRNA from 1 species